rnacentral:lncRNA from 1 species
UUGGAUAGAGAAUUUUCAGCGCAUUCUUUGCUUUGGUGAAUUACCAGAAUUCUGAACUGGCUUAUUUUAGUUGUUUUGCAAGUAUAGUUCUAUACUGGCCAGGACUUUGCCUUCUAAUUAGUAUAAUGGCAUUUAUAAAUGUUAUUAAGUAAAACUUAUGCAACUAUCUAAGCAGUAUCACCCUUAAUAAAGUAAAGUGAAUCUGAGGUCCCAGAAGACUGGAAGAAAAAGAGAACAAACUUAAACUAAAGCACAAAAUGACUGCUUUACCUGAGUGUCACUACUAAGGCCAUCUCUGUUCUGU